UUCAUUCUGCUUUGGUCCUAACUGUUGUUUGGGAGCCUCCUGAUGCUGCAUAACAUUCUGGUUUGGCAUUUUAGCUCUCCAUUCCUGAACUACUCUAGGCUUUUGCAUUUGAUUAGGUUGGGAAGGUUUGGGAAUAGCCAGACAGUUAUGUCCAACCAUAAGGCACUUCUCACAGUAUGUUGGUUUCCAAUCGUAUGCCACUUCCUGCACAAAUUUCUUCCCAUUUGGAUCUAUUAGCUCUAUC
rnacentral:lncRNA from 1 species